AGGCGCGCAUCGGAGCGGGAUGCUGGGCUGGAGGUCCCGGCCAUUCUGGGCCUCGAGUGGGGGCCGCAGAGCGGGCGCGGAGGGCGGGUGGGUCCGCAGAGACCUCCGCGUGGGGUUUGGCUGGCAGUGGCCGCAGCCUGGGCCGGCCACGAGCUGCGAGCCACGCGGGCCUGGCCGCUGAGCUUCCCUGCAAACACUAUGGCCUCUCCGACAAGAGAUAAACACAGCCAAGGGGCCGAAGAGUCUGAGGAGCAUUGCCCGGAGAUAUUCCCUUAGAGAUGGGGCUCAUCUUCCCAGGGCGGAUCAGUGAAGGGCUCAUGUCUACGGUGAAAUUGGUGGUGAUCCUCAUCAGUAAGGCUGUGCUCCUCCACAGGCUAAUAACUUGGUCUGCGCUUUCCAAUUCUUGGUCUAGGCCCGAAGUUCUUGCCUUUAAAGAGCCUUCAGGAAUAACCAUUUAUCUGGACAGGGCGGUGUUCCAGAAAUGCUGUUGGGACACCUGGGUGGCUCAGUGGUUGAGCAUCUGCCUUCGGCUCAGGGCAUGGUCCCAGAGUCCUGGGAUCAAGUCCUGCAUCAGGCCUCCCACGGACAGCCUGCUUCUCCUUCUGCUUUGUGUCUCUGCCUCUGUGUAUCUCUUAUGAAUGAAUAAAUAAAAAAACAGAAAUGCUGGGUUUUCUUUUUUUUUAA